rnacentral:rRNA from 1 species
AUUGAACGCUGGCGGCAUGCCUUACACAUGCAAGUCGAACGGUAACAGGUUAAGCUGACGAGUGGCGAACGGGUGAGUAAUGUAUCGGAACGUGCCUAGUCGUGGGGGAUAACGUAGCGAAAGCUACGCUAAUACCGCAUACGAUCCAUGGAUGAAAGCGGGGGACCUUCGGGCCUCGCGCGAUUAGAGCGGCCGAUAUCAGAUUAGGUAGUUGGUGGGGUAAAGGCCCCCCAAGCCGACGAUCUGUAGCUGGUUUGAGAGGACGACCAGCCACCCUGGGACUGAGACACGGCCCCGACUCCUACGGGAGGCAGCAGUGGGGAAUUUUGGACAAUGGGCGCAAGCCUGAUCCAGCAAUGCCGCGUGCAGGAAGAAGGCCUUCGGGUUGUAAACUGCUUUUGUACGGAGCGAAAAGGCUCUCUUUAAUACAGGGGGCUCAUGACCUAAAAGGAAGAAUAAGCACCGGCUAACUACGUGCCAGC